rnacentral:rRNA from 1 species
CCUACGGGAGGCAGCAGUGAGGAAUAUUGGUCAAUGGGCUUACGCCUGAACCAGCCAAGUCGCGUGAGGGAAGACUGCCCUACGGGUUGUAAACCUCUUUUGUAAGGGAGCAACGCCGGCUACGUGUAGCCGGACUGAGAGUAACUGAAGACAAAGCAUCGGCUAACUCCGGGCCAGCAGCCGCGGUAACACGGAGGAUGCGAGCGUUAUCCGGAUUUAUUGGGUUUAAAGGGUACGUAGGCGGACUGUCAAGUCAGCGGUAAAAAUGCGGGGCUCAACCCCGCUCCGCCGUUGAAACUGGCAGUCUUGAGUGGGCGAGAGGUAUGCGGAAUUCGUGGUGUAGCGGUGAAAUGCAUAGAUAUCACGCAGAACCCCGAUUGCGAAGGCAGCAUACCGGCGCCCAACUGACGCUGAGGCACGAAAGCGUGGGGAUCGAACAGGAUUAGAUACCCUAGUAGUC